rnacentral:rRNA from 1 species
ACACAUGCAAGUCGAACGAUGAACCAGGUGCUUGCACUUGGGGAUUAGUGGCGAACGGGUGAGUAACACGUGAGUAACCUGCCCCUGACUCUGGGAUAAGCCCGGGAAACUGGGUCUAAUACCGGAUAUGACUGUUCACCGCAUGGUGGGUGGUUGAAAGAUUUAUCGGUGAGGGAUGGACUCGCGGCCUAUCAGCUUGUUGGUGAGGUAAUGGCUCACCAAGGCGACGACGGGUAGCCGGCCUGAGAGGGUGACCGGCCACACUGGGACUGAGACACGGCCCAGACUCCUACGGGAGGCAGCAGUGGGGAAUAUUGCACAAUGGGCGAAAGCCUGAUGCAGCGACGCCGCGUGAGGGAUGACGGCCUUCGGGUUGUAAACCUCUUUCAGUAGGGAAGAAGCGAAAGUGACGGUACCUGCAGAAGAAGCGCCGGCUAACUACGUGCCAGCAGCCGCGGUAAUACGUAGGGCGCAAGCGUUAUCCGGAUUUAUUGGGCGUAAAGAGCUCGUAGGCGGUUUGUCGCGUCUGCCGUGAAAGUCCAAGGCUCAACCUUGGAUCUGCGGUGGGUACGGGCAGACUAGAGUGAUGUAGGGGAGACUGGAAUUCCUGGUGUAGCGGUGAAAUGCGCAGAUAUCAGGAGGAACACCGAUGGCGAAGGCAGGUCUCUGGGCAUUUACUGACGCUGAGGAGCGAAAGCAUGGGGAGCGAACAGGAUUAGAUACCCUGGUAGUCCAUGCCGUAAACGUUGGGCACUAGGUGUGGGGGACAUUCCACGUUUUCCGCGCCGUAGCUAACGCAUUAAGUGCCCCGCCUGGGGAGUACGGCCGCAAGGCUAAAACUCAAAGGAAUUGACGGGGGCCCGCACAAGCGGCGGAGCAUGCGGAUUAAUUCGAUGCAACGCGAAGAACCUUACCAAGGCUUGACAUGUGCCAGACCGCCUCAGAGAUGGGGUUUCCCUUCGGGGCUGGUUCACAGGUGGUGCAUGGUUGUCGUCAGCUCGUGUCGUGAGAUGUUGGGUUAAGUCCCGCAACGAGCGCAACCCUCGUUCCAUGUUGCCAGCACGUAAUGGUGGGGACUCAUGGGAGACUGCCGGGGUCAACUCGGAGGAAGGUGGGGAUGACGUCAAAUCAUCAUGCCCCUUAUGUCUUGGGCUUCACGCAUGCUACAAUGGCCGGUACAAUGGGUUGCGAUACUGUGAGGUGGAGCUAAUCCCUAAAAGCCGGUCUCAGUUCGGAUUGGGGUCUGCAACUCGACCCCAUGAAGUCGGAGUCGCUAGUAAUCGCAGAUCAGCAACGCUGCGGUGAAUACGUUCCCGGGCCUUGUACACACCGCCCGUCAAGUCACGAAAGUUGGUAACACCCGAAGCCGAUGGCCUAACCACCUUGUGUGGGGGGAGUCGUCGAAGGUGGGACUGGCGAUUGGGACUAAGUCGUAA